UUAACAUCUGAAAAUGUUCAUUAUAGUUGGGUCUUAUAUUUUCUUUUACGCUUAAAUUAAUUGUUUCAAAAAUCUUUAUAAAGUCUCUCCUUUUAGUGUCUCCUCUGUGUUUUUAGUUUUUUUAAGACUUCAGAAAAUACAAAUCUACGACAGGUUGAUCUUCUGGACUAACAAACGUUGGAGUUGUAGCUGAGCACCUUGAGAGGAAAAAGGACACAAAGGAUCAGCUGAAUAAUUGCAGGCUGUUCUUAAAGCUCGUGUUAAAAUGGGAGAAGACAUAAACAGACGUCUGGAUUCUGAAAGAAGAAGUCAGUACGAAGUUUUUGAAUCAUCAGACAGCAAAACUCCAUUGAUAAACAAUCAGAACCAAGAAAAUGGAGGAUGUUGCUCUUCGCUAUGGCAGCGCUUCAGUGACUGUUUAUGGAGCACACUAGGCACAGUAAUGUUUACAAACUUGUAUUCUUGUACUUAUUUCUUUUUCUUGAGUUUCUGUUAACACCUAAACAGUUCAAACUGUUAAUUUUAAAUUUACUUCUGUUUGAAAUAGGGGUGCACAAAAGGAAAAAAUCUUGCGAUAUGCGAUAUUAGUGAUCAAUAUUGUGAUGAUGAUAUAACUUGCAAUACAUGAAUGAAUAGCAAAACAACCCAAAACAUUGUUUUCAUUUUACUACAACAGUUUAAUUUAAACAAGAGGUAACCCUAGUGUACAAAGGAGGCAAACAUCUAACAAAAAAGAGCCCUAUCCGGUUACUCAACGACUUCAGGGUCUAAAUGUGGUUAAAUGCAUAAAUGGAUAGACUUUGAUUCAAUAAAGACUUUAAGCUGCCAUAAGCAUGUUUUAGCACAUGUAAGGUACGCAAUUUUUGCCUAUUGCUAUGUACGUUUGCACAGCUUGAUAUCGCGACGACAAGAAAUUUGCCAUAUUGUGCAGACCUAGUUUGAAACUAUGUGUUUCACUUAAACUUUUGUUACCUUUUUUCCGUUUUUGAAGGGUUUCUUUUCUCAUGCUUUUAACUUUUAUUCAAGAUUUUCACUUUUGUGUCUUUAAUGUCUUUUCCAUCUACAGUAGAUAUCUCUGGAUCUUACUCUUCAACUGCUCAGCUGUUGUUUGGGGUUCCACAGGGCUCCAUUUUACAACCUCUAAUAUUCUCUCUAUACCUCAUUCCUCUUGGCCCCACCCCCAUGGUUGUCUGUGGUCAUUAAAGGCAGCAUAUAAUUAAAUAAACUUAAAGUUUAUUAUUAAAGUUCAGAUCAUAACUGGGUUUUAUGUGAUUGUUUGUUCAUUAAAUACAAGGAGAAUGUUGCUCCUGGAUACGGCAGUGCUUCUGUAGCUGGUGCUGCUGCUGUUCACGGAAACCACUAGUGAGAUACAAGAAGGUGGUAUGUGGUGAAACAUUUGGUGCUGAUGAACAACUUUUGGACCAAAUUCAGACUUCAGGCUUAAAUAUGACAAAUGAUGAAGAGAGCUGCAUCACCAUCGUUUUUUGUCCUGUUACGUCGCGGACAGGAACAGAUGCUGAAGCAGCCAUGGAGAAGGUUCCAGGUGGUGAUCCUGUCAUUUUGGUCUUGAUGCAUUACUCCCAAGAGCCCAAACACAUUUCCUCUUCAAAACUCUUAUCUAGUAACCCUAAUGUUGUCCUGGAGAUCAACAUUGUCUACCAUGACAAAAAGAACGGUUUACUGGGGUGUGAACAAAAUAAAAAUGCUGUCCUUGAGUUGAAGGAAGAACUAAAGAAGUACAGCAGACCACAAAGCUCUGGAUCUAAUGGUGAAAAUCAAAGCAACAGUUGAGGUUGCCAUUGUCUGCUGUGUUGUUAGCUUUGGUUGUGCAGUUGUUUUUGUAACAAGGAAAAGUUAGGUAAUGGGUGAAAUAACUUUAAUUAUUUACUGCACAGAGAGGUUAAUAUAAAGAUCUUGUUCAUAACUGAUUUAAUUAAAUUUUUUACUAUUUCAUGCUUUUCAGCAGAGAGAUCCUUUCUCUGACCCAUAUUUCUUGAAAAUGUUGGUCUGCUUAAUAAUGUGGAACGUCCUUCUUUGUAAUUUCUUUUCCUUUAAUUAAAUUCAUCUGACAAACUA